UAACAUGAAAUAAGUGCCAAUAAAAGAGUGAGUCCAACACUUGCUUUUUCAAAAACAAAAUCUAUAUUCAAAAUGAUAAUCUAUAUAAAAAAAAAAAAAAAAAAAAAAAAAAAGGAAUAUGAAAAUUUACAAUUCAAACAAUAGAUCGAUAUCAAACAAAAGUGUUUCAUUAUCAUUUUUCGGCUACAAUGGGUAUAUGAAACAUCCAAUGUCGAAUUAUCAACAUUGAGUCUUAACAAAGAAUGUUUCUGUCAUGUUGUGCAACGAAAUCUCUACAGCACAUGGUACAUGUAGUGACACCACUAGAUGUUUAAUAGGAUCCCGCGAAAAGUCUGACUUUGGUCCACGAAGGUAGCAAAUUGUCUGUGUGACCAUCGCUGACGGCUUUUGGUACACAUAAGAUAUUUUAUUUUGUUGGUUAACAGAUAUUUUUUUUUACGCCGGACAGCCAUUAAAACAUCACCAAGGAAAGGUUGUCAUGCUCUUUGUUAAUUUCCAUGAAACUGAUAUAGCCCCAAAGGUUUUACAUGAACACCAAUGGAUACUCGUGUCAAUUUGAAAGCCACGCGGAAUCAAUAUCGGAGAUGUUUAAGACAAAUGCAUCGAUCCUGCUGGGCGUUUGUUGCUUUAUAUCUCCCUUGACAUGGCCUAUCAUUAAAAGGUCCCUUUUGAGGAUUUGUGGAUUAUUUGGUAUACUGUAGAGGGUAAUUAUACAGUCUACAAGCAAUUGCAUCCUUGGAAAAGCCUCCUUAAAUUACGCCCCAAAUUGUUUGUCAUUAGUUGUUAGAAAGACCUGGCAUAUAGUCUGCUGUUUAUUGAAGUGUUUUUACAAUAAGGGCGUGACAUUCAUGACAUAAGCUAAACUUUACAUGUCGAAAGUAAAAGCAAGAAAAAAGUCAUACUUGAGUUAGAAAACGUUCGAACUCGAAUUACGUCCGUUCAAAUAACCCUUGUCCUUCACAUAUGUUCCAAAAAUCUAUCAAGCGAAAAGUAUUCGACAUUAGUCUUAACAGUCAUUUUUAACCAACUAUGCAUAGUUCUAAUAAUAAUAAUAAACUAGAGGCUCUAAAUAGCCUUUGUGAUCACCUGGGUCUAUGUGCAUAUUCAACAAAGGAC
rnacentral:lncRNA from 1 species